AUCCGGGCUUCCGCGUAGUCCGGGCGCCCUGGCCUCUGCACCGUCCUAGAAACCUGUCUUACGUCGAGGAACCCGGGGGACAGAGGCGCGCCAGUGCACGCCGGGGCCAGGGACGAACGGCUCGCCAAUGCAAAGGAGGCCCCUCGGGGAGACGGCAGGCAGCAAAAGGCUUCCUUGGCCGGGGGUCUGGGCGUUUGGGGAGGGGAGGUGCUCAGAGAUAGGGCCGAGGAUGGAGCUCCCAGGUGGGUUGGAGGCGGGGGUGGCUGGGCUCGAGGACGCUGUUGGAGUCCGGGGUCUGGAAGAGGCGAUCCCCGGGAAAGCCAGCUUCAGAGCCGGGAAGGGUCGGCAGGGGACCUACUGCAAGAGCCCCCAGGUUGGGGUAGGGAGGGGGCCCAGACCUGGGCCGGGAGGGAUGCUGAAUCCCCCGACCUAGCUCUGGGGCUUUGCAAACCAGCAUCACUGCAGCAUUUUGUGGCUCAAGGAAUGGGGCAGGGCGGCCAGACCAGCUGUGGCUGGUGCGUGCGUGAGGCCCUGAGGGAUGCGGCCAAUGCUAUUUUGCUGUUUUGUACUUACUCAGUUUCAUUUUGGCUCUGUCGCCACUAGGCGAAAGAAAUCGAAGUGCUAACAUACCACGGGGAGCAAUGAUUAUUACUCAAUGUGGCCCCGCCCCAGCAGCGGGAGGUGGCAUCUGUUUGACCUUGGAGACUUGGACGGUAUUUAGGGAGAUUACAUGAAAAAAAGACUCACCCCACAAUGCUUGCAGUCAGCUACAAGCUGCCUUGUCCUUCAUACCUUUUAGCCUUUAUUUCCUGAGUCUAUCUUGUCUGUUUCUAAUGUAGUCUCCUGAUUUAGGGCAAGAGAAUAUUUCUCACUCUUGGUCUGCCCACUACCCACAAUCCUUGUCCGAGGAUUUACUCGGCAAACUUAGCAGGCAAAACCCCUUGUCAACUUAACACUAAAAAAUACCGUCUCUUGGAAGGCAGUCUGCUUUGAUAAACCUAAUGGAAUAAAAAGUGAGUUUGCUAUCUGGCUUUAAAGAACAUAACCCAGCUGGGCAUGGUGGCUCACACCUGUAAUCCCAACACUUUGGGAGACCGAGGCAGGAGGAUCGCUUAAGCCCAGGCGUUCAAGACCAGCCUGGGCAACAUAGUAUAGUAAAACCCAGUCUCUACAAAAAGAAUUUAAAAAUUAGCCAGGCCAGAUAGCCCAGCUACUUGGGACGCUGAAACAGGAUUGCUUUGAGUCCAGCAGGUGGAGGCUGCAGUGAGCUAUGACUGCACCACUGCACUCCAGCCUGGUCAACAGAGCGAGAUCCUGUCUCAAAACAAAACAAAAAAACUGACAACCAAUGAAACCUCAUCUCUAAAAUCUGGCUUCAGGUUAAGUGAGUAAAAAGAGGCUUUCUUGUGGCCAGGCACGGUGGCUUAUGCCUGGUAAUCCCAGCACUUUGGGAGGCCAAGGCGGGCGGAUCACGAGGUCAGGAGUUCAAGACCAGCCUGGCCAACAUAGUGAAACCCUGUUUCUACUAAAAAUACAAAAAAAUUAGCCAGGCAUGGUGGUGGAUGCCUGUAAUCCCAGCUACUCGGGAGGCUGAGGCAGGAGAAUCAACGUGAACCCAGGAGGCGGAGGUUGCAGUGAGCUGGUAUCACGCCAUUGCACUCCAACCCCGGGCAAUAGUGCGAGACUCCGUCUCAAAAAAAAAAAAGGCUUUCAUUUAUCUUCUCAGCUCCUACAAGCCAAUGAGUGGUAGGGUAAUUUGCCGACCACAGUGGGAAGAACUAAUUUAACACCAAGAUUGUGAUUCCCCUAGUGUAGAUCCAGUAUGAAAGAAGUGUCUCAGGCAUGCUUCUGGUUCCUGAGUUAACUCUAGUGAAUAAGGUGGGCUGUGCUGUCUCCCCACCUCCCCCAGGCAUAGGGGCAGAACAGCUGCAGACCACCAGGACCCAGUGGGCCAAGUGAGGAUGUGAGUCAAAGCCAGUGCUUAUUAAACCACCUAAUACUGUACUUUUCCCAUCCAGGGGAGGCAGGAGAGGAUUGAGGAGGCAAAUCCCCGAGCCCAGAAGACUCCAGUCAGAAAACAAGAUGGUCCCCAUGGGUAGUGGCCAAUCCCUCUGGCCUUUCAGAGCAGUGGCUUUGGCCUUGUCCGCUUAGGUAACAGGCUCUGCUGCUGGUAGUUGCUUAAGAGCACAGAGUAGCCGGGCGUGAGCCACUGCGCCUGGCCGAGAAUGUCCUUUUUGUAAGGAGAAAUAUGAACAUUGGGAGUAAAAUGCCAACAGUGACUUUCAAGGUUCCACAACCCAUAGAGGAAUUUAUCUGCCAUAUCAAGGAGUGGGUCUGUAGCCAAUCACUGUAACGUUCUUUUCAAUUUUUGUGUUUGGGAUUCAAGUGCCCCAAUACCACCUAACUACCCUUUAAAUGGAAUUAAAUAUUCUAAUUCAAGAUAUCUGUUUUGGGACCACCAAAUUUCAACUAUCUAUAUUUAAAAUCACAAGGCCAGAGUCACAUCAGUGCUCAAAGGCAGCAAAAAUCCUAUUUCAAGCUCAACCAAAUUAGAAGAAUGGAUGGCAGUAGUUACCUCUAAGAAUGGCAAUUAAUGGGUGAUCAGGUAAUGGGCAUGCUGGGAAGAGUUUCUGAUAAACCAGGGGUCUGCAAACUACUGGCCAGAGGGUAAAUAUGUCAAGCAUUGUGGGCUGUAUACGGCCGCCUCACACUUUUGUAACGUGUGUGCACUGCCAAUUCAAAAAAUAAAAACCAGCUGGGCACAGUGGCUCAUGUCUGUAAUCCCAGCACUUUGGGAGGCUGAGAUGGGAGGAUUGCCUGAGGCCAGGAGUUCAAGACCAGCCUGGGCAGUAUAGCAAGACCUCAAUUCUACAAACAAUCCAAAAAUUAGCCAGGUGUGUGUGGUGGUGGUACGCACCUAUGGUCCCGGCGACUCAGAAGGCUGAGAUAGGAGGAUCAUUUGAGCCCAGGAGGUAGAAGCUGCAGUGAGUUGUGAUCAUGCCACUGCAUUCCAGCCUGUGCAAGAGUGAGAUUCUGUCUUUCCAAAAAAAAAAAAAAAAGGCCCCAAGUCAUAGUGUUCCUCAAAUUCCUACGGCCUUUCCUCUCCAAUACUCUGGAUAACAGGAUAACAGAGUGCCACGUGAGUCCCUUACAUAACCUGAGAUGUCUUGACUCAUUGUCUUGCCAGUGUGAUCCAGCUACUCUCACCCUAACUCCUCACUGACCACAGCGCUGUGUGGUUAAUGAGAGGUACAGCUUGUGGCCAUUCAGAUUCAACCACGUUUAUCCACAUCAGAGUUGGAAAAUUCAAACCAGUGGGCUAAUUAGCAAGCUGGUAUGCCACAUGUUAAUGUUCUGAUUAGGCUGGUGACCACUGAUUGUCAACUCCUAGAACAGGGUUACCCAGCUAGUGCUCAGAAGGUUGUUUCUCUGAGUAGGCUUUGGGAACUGUGCACCCAGGAGGGAGGUGCCAUUCUUAGCCACUCAAAUCACCCAGUGAAUCAACAUGCAGUUUCAGCUGACCAGAGCAGAGGCCAACGCAUGUGGUCAUCACACAUAAAUAGAGUGGAGGAAAACUGCUUUCAUGCUUUGCUGUACUAGAAGGUCCCACUGAAUUACAUUUAUGGCCUCUCCACUCUACCCCUGACCUGAAGUUCUUGGAAUGGAGACCUCUGAUGUUUCACACUGUUAUUUUUAAUCACCUUUCGGACAAAGUAUCAGUUUUUGUUUGUUUUUGAGAUGGAGUCUUGCUCUGUUGCCCAGGCUGGAGUGCAGUGGCAGGAUCUUGGUUCACUACAAUCUAUCUUCUGGUUCAAGCGAUUCUCCUGCCUCAGCCUCCCAAGUAGCUGGGAUAAAAGGCGCGUGCUAUCAUGCCCGGCUAAUUUUUGCAUUUUUAGUAGAGACAGG
rnacentral:lncRNA from 1 species